rnacentral:rRNA from 1 species
GUGGGGAAUAUUGCACAAUGGGGGAAACCCUGAUGCAGCAACGCCGCGUGAGUGAUGACGGCCUUCGGGUUGUAAAGCUCUGUCUUCAGGGACGAUAAUGACGGUACCUGAGGAGGAAGCCACGGCUAACUACGUGCCAGCAGCCGCGGUAAUACGUAGGUGGCAAGCGUUGUCCGGAUUUACUGGGCGUAAAGGGAGCGUAGGUGGAUAUUUAAGUGGGAUGUGAAAUACUCGGGCUUAACCUGGGUGCUGCAUUCCAAACUGGAUAUCUAGAGUGCAGGAGAGGAAAGUAGAAUUCCUAGUGUAGCGGUGAAAUGCGUAGAGAUUAGGAAGAAUACCAGUGGCGAAGGCGACUUUCUGGACUGUAACUGACACUGAGGCUCGAAAGCGUGGGGAGCAAACAGGAUUAGAAACCCUGGUAGUCC